CAAAUUAGAGCUUGAGUUUAAGUAUUUCAUUUACAUUGAGGGGAUAUUAUAUUAAUAAUUAAUUUGA
rnacentral:tRNA from 1 species